rnacentral:rRNA from 1 species
CCUACGGGAGGCAGCAGUGAGGAAUAUUGGUCAAUGGACGAGAGUCUGAACCAGCCAAGUCGCGUGAAGGAUGACUGCCCUAUGGGUUGUAAACUUCUUUUAUAUGGGAAUAAAAUGUUCCACGUGUGGGAUUUUGUAUGUACCAUAUGAAUAAGGAUCGGCUAACUCCGUGCCAGCAGCCGCGGUAAUACGGAGGAUCCGAGCGUUAUCCGGAUUUAUUGGGUUUAAAGGGAGCGUAGGUGGAUUGUUAAGUUAGUUGUGAAAGUUUGCGGCUCAACCGUAAAAUUGCAGUUGAAACUGGCAGUCUUGAGUACAGUAGAGGUGAGGGGAAUUCGUGGUGUAGCGGUGAAAUGCUUAGAUAGCACGAAGAACUCCGAUUGCGAAGGCAGUUCACUGGACUGCAACUGACACUGAGGCUCGAAAGUGUGGGUAUCAAACAGGAUUAGAUACCCGGGUAGUC